UGAUAGAGUGAAAACCUGUCUCAAAAAAAAAAAAAAAAAAAAAAAAAUGAGUAGGAACUAGGUACUUGAAGCUUUUCACCAUGUCGUCCUUACUUCUCUUUUUCGGACUUUUUUCUUGACUAAAAAUUUACUCUCUGGCAACACCAAAAUGUUUGUAUACCAGCCCUCCGCCAUCCUGCUGACAUCACAAUGCUUCUUUCUCUUGCUUUGUUUCUUUGCUUAUGUUGUUCUCACUGCCUGAAAUGUUCCCUUACACUCCAUCACCAAUACCACAAUUCCCCCAUCACUAGCAUCCCUUUCUCUCUGCUGUUACUCACACUUUAGCCCAAGACUCACCAACUCCACGAGUCUUUCCAAGUUCCAUUACUCCCAGCCAGUCAUUAAACUUCACAUUCAAUAAGAGCUCACAUGUGUCAAGCCUCCUGAGUGUUCUUUCUGCUCAUCCACCCGCUCCCCUCGGACUUCAGCAUGGGCUGGACCUCGACCCUAGGAUCUGACAAUUGGCCAUGAGGAUGGGAUGAGCCAACACCUUUAUUGGAAAGUUUCUUGAGCUGACAGUUCAUUUGAAAUUUAUCCCUGAGAAGUUUGCACUGUGGAUCCUGCCUUUAUAAGAUGCUGACUUAUUUCCUUCACUCCUUCAACUGCAUGUGGGCAGACUAGGAAGGAACUAGCAGGAUUUCCUGAAUGAUAGACAUUCUCCUCCUUAUCUCCAGUCAUACGUCAGCAAUCCUACCUCUCUCCUUGAUAGUAAGAAUCAUUUACCCUAGAUAACACAAUAGAUAAGGAAUAUGGUAAUUGAAGUUCUUCCCACUUGAAGGUGUUUCCAUUCCCACUGACCUUCCAGACCACUCAAAAUGGUAAAAGCAGAGCCGUAACGAUCCAGUUUUGUGUAGUGCCAGGAUGCCAUGAAGAACCAUCUGUAAGCCAGACUUGAGGUUUGUUUUUCAUUUUUUUUCCUCAACUAGUCAGAGGGAAUUCUGAAUGAGGCCCAGGUAUGUCCUGAGGGCUAACUAUUAACAUGCAGCAGGAUUAGGCAUUGACAUGGUUUGGUUGUGUCUCCCCCCAAAUCUCAUCUUGAAUUGUAGCUUCCAUAAUUCCCAGAUGUUGUGGGAGGGU